AUAUAACGUAAAUUAAAUUAGUAUUGCUAGAAUCCUUACGAGAACAAUACAGUAUAUCCUUCAAUGGGUAUUGUCACAAGCAUUGAAGUUCCACGGAAAGGAUGAGCUCAAGCUGAAAAUGUCACUAAACAAGACUUCUACAAUUUGACAUAGAAUAUUAGAUUGGUCAAUUCCUCAUCAGCCUCAUUGCAAAUGGAUGGGAAAAUAAACACUACAUGAGGGCCACCAAUAAGGUAAUAUAUGAACUUUUUACGUUAAAAAAUAGCAUUGAACCAAAUUAA